AGCCCCGCAGUGGAGAACAUAUUAGAUUGCAAAUCUAAAGACGCAGAUUAACGUUUGCCGGGGCUU
rnacentral:tRNA from 1 species